GCCUGCCCUGUGACUAUAUGUUUAACGGCCGCGGUAUUUUGACCGUGCGAAGGUAGCGCAAUCACUUGUCUUUUAAAUGAAGACCUGUAUGAAUGGCACCACGAGGGCUUAACUGUCUCCCUCUCCCAGUCAAUGAAAUUGAUUUCCCCGUGCAGAAGCGGGGAUAAAAACAUAAGACGAGAAGACCCUAUGGAGCUUAAGACGCCAGAACAGCUCAUGUUAAACACUCCAAAACAAAGGAAAUAAACUAAAUGAAGCCCUGCUCUAGUGUUUUUGGUUGGGGCGACCACGGGGAAAAACUUAACCCCCAUGCGGAAUAGGAAUACUAUUUUCCCAAACUCAAGAGCUUCCGCUCUAAUGAACAGAACUUUCUGACCAAAAGGAUCCGGCAAUGCCGAUCAACGGACAGAGUUACCCUAGGGAUAACAGCGCAAUCCUCUUAAAGAGUCCCUAUCGACAAGGGGGUUUACGACCUCGAUGUUGGAUCAGGACAUCCUAAUGGUGCAGCCGCUAUUAAGGGUUCGUUUGUUCAACGAUUAAAGUCCUACGUGAU
rnacentral:rRNA from 1 species